AUAUUUUCCAUGAGAAAUGCUGGGUCAUAAAAAUGGUUUUCCUAGGGGGAAAAAAAUCAUCCAUUGUAUUUGGGGUGUGCUGCUGGUCCCUGUGAUUUCCCAAACUGUGGGGAGCUCAAUUGUAUAAUUUUUAUUAGUGGGAGAUUGUUAUAAUUAACCCUGG
rnacentral:snRNA from 1 species